GGACCCGCACAAGUAGUGGAGCAUGUGGUUUAAUUCGAAGAUACGCGCAGAACCUUACCAACACUUGACAUGUUCGUCGCGACUUUAAGAGAUUAAAGUUUUCGGUUCGGCCGGACGAAACACAGGUGCUGCAUGGCUGUCGUCAGCUCGUGUCGUGAGAUGUUGGUUAAGUCCCGCAACGAGCGCAACCCUUACUUUUAGUUGCCAUCAUUUAGUUGGGCACUCUGAAAGAACUGCCAGUGAUAAGCUGGAGGAAGGUGGGGAUGACGUCAAGUCCUCAUGGCCCUUACGUGUUGGGCUACACACGUGCUACAAUGGCUAAGACAAAGAGUCGCAAGCUUGCAAAAGUUAGCUAA
rnacentral:rRNA from 1 species